rnacentral:lncRNA from 1 species
UAGUUUUUUUUUUUUUUUUUUUUUUUUUUUUUUUUUGUCAUCAGCAGAAACAAGAUCAGCUCAGAUGAGCCAAUGUUGAGGACAGUUUAUAACAGUUUUAAAAGGAUUUACAAGGAUUUUUAAAAUAUUUUAAAAUAGUUUUUUAAAAAUUUACAAGGAUUUUUAAAGGUUUUUAAAAGGAUUUACAAGUGUUUUUAAAAGGAUUUACGAGUGUUUACAAGUGUUUUUAAAGGAAUUUACAAGGAUUUUAAAAUUGAUUUUAA